AGUGAACGCUGGCGGUAGGCCUAACACAUGCAAGUCGAACGGCAGCACAGGAGAGCUUGCUCUCUGGGUGGCGAGUGGCGGACGGGUGAGGAAUACAUCGGAAUCUACUUUUUUGUGGGGGAUAACGUAGGGAAACUUACGCUAAUACCGCAUACGACCUACGGGUGAAAGCAGGGGAUCUUCGGACCUUGCGCGAUUGAAUGAGCCGAUGUCGGAUUAGCUAGUUGGCGGGGUAAAGGCGCACCAAGGCGACGAUCCGUAGCUGGUCUGAGAGGAUGAUCAGCAACACUGGAACUGAGACACGGUCCAGACUCCUACGGGAGGCAGCAGUGGGGAAUAUUGGACAAUGGGCGCAAGCCUGAUCCAGCCAUACCGCGUGGGUGAAGAAGGCCUUCGGGUUGUAAAGCCCUUUUGUUGGGAAAGAAAUCCAGCUGGUUAAUACCCGGUUGGGAUGACGGUACCCAAAGAAUAAGCACCGGCUAACUUCGUGCCAGCCGCCGCGGUAA
rnacentral:rRNA from 1 species